UCUUUAGAAAAAAAGAAAAAACAACUUAUAGGCUAUAUAAAACAUGAAUAGAAUAGAACCGAAUAUGAUAGAAAAAUAAAAUGUAUUUAAAUAUGAAACUACAACCUCGAUUAGGAUGUGGCAAAUCACCUGAAUGAGUCACUGAAUCUUUUAUAAUUAUAUACUUUAUCAUUAUUAAUUAUAUAUCUUUUAUAACUUAUUGAAGUCAUAGGCCUAUAGUGAAAUGUCAUACACUGUAAAUCAGUGGCAUUGCUAAAUUAAAUUAGUUAAUUUAACAAAAUUUUUUUUAUUUCAACUCAAUAUAUAUUUGUGAUGUGAACUCAAAAUCUCAUUAGGUUAAGGGGAACUCAAUCUAAAUAAGUAUAAAUUAAUUUAAUCUAAAAAUUAGCUUAAUUCAUGAUUUCUAACAUUGUUUUUCGAGAAGUCACGUUUGCUUUAUCUCUCUCAAUAUUAAUUAAAUAGCCUUCAUAACUAAAGAUAAUAUAAUAAAUACAUCAAUCUGCUUCAUAUUAAGCAUAGAUCAAUACUUUUAAAGAAAUUAAUUUUACUCGAGACAAAAUAUUAUUUUUCAAAAACCGCGCGCAUUUUUCAGUCAGUCUCAUCCGCCCAUCCCCCACAGCUCACAGUCACGGACGGGAUCACAGCCGGACGGCUCACGACGCGGUCACGGAAAAUAAUAGCUGGACACAGACAAACUGGAGAGACAGCUGACAGGAUGUCGUCAUCUGUAACCGUCACUCGCCACAGUACUCAAGCAAGGGACAAUAAUGGCAUCAGCCAUUCAAGUUAUGAUCCUGGCAGAUCUACUACUAUCUGAAAAGUAGUCUCUGCAGAUUGUUUCAAGAUACACAAGAUGGAGCGUGGGGAGACAGGACAUGGACCACAGUUUUUCAGCACCCACACACCACACUCAAAUUCAUAUAGAAGUCCUCAAUUAUUAAAUGUUGAUAUGAUAGUUUAUAUUUAGCUGUGAAGUUAUAGUUCAUUGUCAUAAAUAUUAAACUACAUAUUAUUAUUAUUAUUAUUAUUAUUUUACAUGAUAUGCAAAUUUCACCAAUUUGUUCAAUGUGUUAAUGAACUUUUUGAAAGUGAUUAUCUUUAAUAAUUCAGAUACCUGUUGAAAUGCACAUGUAAUUAUAUACUUGCUCGUAUCUGGAAGGUUGUGUUAAUAAAAAUGUUGAAAGCAAAUGUUGCAAUACUGCUAAUCUUAAAAUAACAUUUUAUUAAACUAAACUUUGUAAUGUUCCAAAUAAAUGUUUUUAGGAUGUUGUAUUUUUAAGAAAAUGUAGGUGGAAAUAAA